CAAACUCUGCACUAGGUAUCCAUUUCUGGCGAAUCUGAUUUUAGAAGGCUUAGAGAAUUAUGUGCUCCUGAGACUCGAAACAACCUAAUUCUUUCAAAAAGUUGCUCUCAAAAGAUAUGGUUAGUUGGAGAUAAAUUGCAAGAAACCGAACAAGUUAAGGCCUCAAAGGGAACAUUGUUCAUUCCUUUCUCUCUGUUUCCUCCAAAAAAAUUUCGCAAAGAUUGCUUCUACUGCAACACUCCCGCAAUGUCUGCUCCAAGGAAUUUCGAGAAUUUAGAUUCCUGUGAGAAUUGGUUGCCAUGAAGGGUGAUUAGUGCAUGGCGUAUAGCUGGAAUCGUGCAUGCAUUAGAAGGAUGGAAUGUUCAUGAAUGCGAUGACAUGAUUUUUAGCAUGGACAAAAUUUGGAAAGCUACUCUUAAACUGGGAUUUCGUCCACUCCCAGUAUCCACGUCAGAAUAACAGUUUGAUGGCUUAGACAAGUGAGGCAUUGUAUAUGUCUGUGCUUGUAUUAAUAAGUGUUCACAUCUAUCUAUUGGACAAUACAUCAAUUCUGGCCAUUUACGACAGAUUUUUUCCGCCU